AUGGCGAUGCUUCAUGAAGAAGAGCUCUCCGAGCUGGCUGGCGACAUAUCGGUCUAUGUGCUCCUCGCGGCCAUGCUCCUCGUCUUUGUCGCGGGCCAGGCCUGCACCGGCGGCUGGGGCUGCGCCGUGGCCCACGUCGUGACGAAGAUAUGGGCCCAGGCCAUACUCGUCCUGCUUCUCUUGCCGCUAGCGCUCGUGCUCUUCUUCCGCCGCGCCGCCGGCUGCAGCAGCAAGGCGGCGGACGCGGAGAGUCUGAGCGUCAAGGAUGUUGAGGAACGACCUUAUGACUUUUCCUUGGCUCUUAUGUGGCUUUUGCUUGUGGCGAUGUUGGGAACCUUCGCUUUCGUUUUUUACAUGUAUGGAUAUCCAGACUUGGCCGAUCUUUUCGGCCACGCGGUUCUCGUGGUCGUUUUCCUGUGUGAAGCCUUCCUGUAUGUUCGUGCUGCACUGUCGCUGUGGAAGAUGAACCCCACUCCCAAGCCCAGCAGCAUGGUGGCUGCAGAGUAA
rnacentral:rRNA from 1 species